GCCAAAUGAAGAGAGAAGCCAGCUGUUUGGAAAGAAUGUUCUCUUCAUUGAUGAUCAGAAGUGACUUCAGCAAUCGGUUGUGGGACAGCUGACCAAUUGGUUUGGUAAGAUUAUGAACAAAGAAGAAUUUUCUGGCAGAAAGUUUGCUGAUUCACUGAAGUCAAGACUAGAGUCAGCAAAUUCCCACAGAAGACCUUUGGGUGGGAGAAUUUAUUACAUUUUCAUAUCCAGACAUAGCUGACAAGUCAGUGGUGAAGAAGGCCGAAAAAAUAAUUGGCAGAUCCCUCCCUCCCAUCCAGGACACAGCACAGAAACAUUGCUUGAGCAGGAUCCGUAAGAUUAUCUGGGACACCACAUAUCCUCUUCAUAAUCUGUUUUCCAAGACAAGAGAAGACAAGAGAAGGAGAUGGGAAAGAGAAAGAGAAAGA